AUAUCGUAUGAACAGGCAGCAUGGAGUAAUAAAGUAUUUCUAUCCCUCCAUCCGUCGCAUACUCUCUCUCUCUCUCUCUCUCUCUCUCCCCUCUCUCUCUCUCUCUCUCUCUCUCUGUCUCUCUCUCUGUCUCUUUCUCUCUUUCUCUUUCUCUCUCUCUCUCUCUCCCUCUCCCUCUCCCUCAUUCUCUCCCUCCCUCUCUCCCUCUCUCUCUCUCUCUCUCUCUCUCUCUCUCUCUCUCUCUCUCUCUCUCUCUCUCUCUCUCUCUCUCUCUCUCUCUCUCUCUCUCUCUUUCUCUCUCUCUCUCUCUCUCUCCCUCUCUCCCUCUCUCUCUCUCUCUCUCUCUCCCUCUCUUUCUCUCUCUCUCUCUCUCUCUCUCUCUCUCUCCCUCUAUCUCUCUCAUUCUCUCUCUCUCUCUCUCUCUCCCUCUCAUUCUCAUUCUCUCUCGCUCUCUCUCUCUCUCUCACUCAUUCUCUCUCACACUCAUUCUCUCUAUCUCUCUCUCUCUCUCUCUCUCUCUCUCUCUCUCUCUCUCUCUCUCUCACAUUGGGCUUCGCAGACUACGCCAUCAAAACACAAACAUAUUACACACUCUCAGGCGUGUUCCCUGGCUCGCGUUCCCUCUCUCUCACACAGUCUCUCAUAAAGGAGGCAAAGGAACGCAAGAGAUGCAGACACAAGAAAGCAUGUCUUCAGACUCCCUGUCAGACGUGCGGGGUCCCCCAGCCUACUGGAUGUUGUGUGGUCACCCCUAUGACGAGAGGACCGUGUGGAACCCCAAGUUCUGUGUGGUCACUGACUGUCAGAUGCUGCUCCUGGACAAAGAGGAGAAGUUUUUGUUUCAGGAGCGGAGGUCAGAUUCAUGUAAGGUCCGACAGCUGAGACGCACCAUCAGCGUUCCCGUAGAAACCAACUUUCACAGCCCAGAGUUCCACAGCCAGCUGUCCAUCGAGAGCAUCCCCUGCAGUCUCCAACCCUGCAGUCUCCAACCCUGCAGUCCCCUGCAGUCUCCAACCCUGCAGUCCCCUGCAGUCUCCAACCCUGCAGUCUCCAACCCUGCAGUCCCCUGCAGUCUCCAACCCUGCAGUCUCCAACCCUGCAGUCUCCAACCCUGCAGUCCCCUGCAGUCUCCAACCAUGCAGUCCCCUGCAGUCUCCAACCCUGCAGUCUCCAACCCUGCAGUCCCCUGCAGUCUCCAACCCUGCAGUCUCCAACCCUGCAGUCCCCUGCAGUCUCCAACCCUGCAGUCCCCUGCAGUCUCCAACCCUGCAGUCUCCAACCCUGCAGUCUCCAACCCUGCAGUCCCCUGCAGUCUCCAACCAUGCAGUCCCCUGCAGUGUCCAACCCUGCAGGCCCCAACACUGCAGUCCCCUGCAUUCUCCAACCCUGCAUUCUCCAACCCUGCAGUCACCUGCAAUCCCCUGCAUUCUCCAACCCUGCAGUCUCCAAACCUGCAAUCUCCAACCAUGCAGUCUCCAACCCUACAGUCUCCAAUCUUGCAGUCUCCAACCUGUAGAGUGACAGACUGUAGCACUUAGCAACAGCCCACUAUAAAUUCUGUAAACCCUAUAAACACCCACCCUAUUGGCCCAAGACACUCAUAAAUAAAAUAAAAAUGAAUGUUUUUAGCGCAAACUCUCUACGAUAUUACUAUCGUACCUCUUUAUUUGUUCUAACGCGACACUCUGGAGAAGAUAGAAUUUGGACUAAACAGCUAACACAAAACCACUGCAGCCAACCCAGUCCAGUCCCUCUCUCACAUGCAGGUCCAACAAGUCGUAAUAACAAGCUUCUCUUUUGCUAUUGUUUAUCCUUGCUAGUGGGCUUAACUUGAUUCAUGAGGCCAGGGCAGCUUCCACUUAUAGAAGCAGCUGAUCCAUCUGAACUGUUGGCAACUACACAAUGAGAUUAAUAUCAAACAUAUUGGCUUUUGGACUUUAGGAAACGUGCACUUGUUGAGUUGAGGGGGAGCUACAUUCCACAGCUACAGAAAGUAAACCUAACCUAUGAUUGUGGACUAGCUUUUCCUGACCAGUGACCACAUGACCUGACAAGAAAACACUCCCUGCCCAUGAGGCUGGUGGCCUGAGGUUACCAUCUUAGAAUAGCUAAAACAUCACAAGACACACUUGACAACCCAUCCCAGCUUCGCUCAUGUUCCUUUCUCAUCUUUAUUUAACCUUUUGGGAUUGCUUCAUGCCUCACAUUGUCCCUGGGAUGCUAGAGUUUUGGAAGGGAAAGAGGCGAGUGUCAAUCGGAGACUAAUCUUUGUGACAUAUUUUCAUGUUUUCCUUACUAGUGAUUGUGAUCUGUAAUUUGUCAUUUAUUUGAAGUGUAAAUGGACACCUGCUGGUUUGGGAGCCUGGCAGUAAAUUACUGUUUGAACAUUUUCUUUGCACCCUGCAGAUUUCAGAGUAAGAUGGAGUAAGAAGUAACUACAAACGUUUUCGAACUUCACUGACAGAGAGGCUGAGGAGAGAAAUUGAGAGAGAGAGAGAGAGAGACAGACAGACAGACAGAGACAGAGAGAGAGACACACAGACAGACAGAGAGAGAGAGAGAGACAUAUAGGGAGAGAGAGAGAGACAUAUAGGGAGAGAGAGAGAGAGACAUAUAUAUAUAGAGAGAGAGACAGACAGACAGACAGACAGACAGACAGACAGACAGACAGACAGACAGACAGACAGACAGACAGACAGACAGACAGACAGACAGAGAGGGACGGACGGGGGAGACUGACAGAGAGGGACGGACGGGGGGAGACCGACAGGGAGAGAGAGAGAGAGAGAGAGAGAGAGGGAGAGAGAGAGAGAGAGAGAGAGAGAGAGAGAGAGGGAGAGAGGGAGAGAGAGAGAGAGACAGGGAGAGAGAGAGAGAGAGAGAGAGAGAGAGAGAGAGAGAGAGAGACAGACAGACAGACAGACAGACAGACAGACAGACAGACAGACAGACAGACAGACAGACAGACAGACAGACAGAGAGAGAGAGAGACAGACAGACAGAGAGGGAGACAGACAGACAGACAGACAGAGAGGGACGGACGGACGGACGGGCGGGGGGAGACUGACAGAGAGGGACGGACGGGGGGAGACCGACAGGGAGGGAGAGAGAGAGAGACAGAGAGAGAGAGAGGGAGAGAGAAUUGGCAAGAGAAAAAAAAAACAUUAUUGGCCCAAUAGUUCCAUCUUCCCAGUUUCUCUCCUGGAACUCUGAGGUCUUCAAGAACACCCUUAAGACCUUCAUCCCUACUCGAGCCCACUGUAGCCCCCCAGGAAGACCAUGAGAUCCUGCUCUGGCCCACUGUAGUCCCCCAGGAAGACUAUAAGAUCCUGCUCUGACCCACUAUAGCCCCCCAGGAAGACUAGGAGAUCCUGCUCUGACCCACUAUAGGCCCCAAGGAAGACUAGGAGAUCCUGCUCUGGCCCACUGUAGCCCCCCAGGAAGACUAGGAGAUCCUGCUCUGGCCCACUGUAGCCCCCCACAAAGACUAGGAGAUCCUGCUAUGAGCCACUGUAGCCCCCCAGGAAGACUAGGAGAUCCUGCUCUGACCCACUGUAGCCCCCCAGGAAGACUAGGAGAUCCUGCUCUGACCCAUCUCCCCGUAAUCAGACCCUCACUCUUCUCUCAGUUCACCUUAGUUGAUACCACCCCCUCAAACACUAGAACCCUGCUAACCUCUUCUUCAUCUCCCUCCCCUUUAACAAACACUGUUACAUCCUCAACAUAAGCCGUCUCCCCACCUACUGCCCUUGGAACUGACAACCUCUGCAGCCUCUCCCUCAGCCUACACAGCUGUGGUUCUAUGUCUAAACAGUAGAGAUGACCCGAGAGUGGACACCCCUGCCGAAUCCCUCUACUAACUGAGACUGGCCGGCUCAGCCUACCCCCCACUUUUACCAUAUCAGAAGCCCCCAGAGUACAGUAGCUUGACCUAUGAUUUUAAACCCGCUACCCAGGCCAACAAUUCCAUGGUUUUAAACAGAUAGAUAUGAGUCACAUGACACACUCUAUCAAAAUCUAUCAGAUCCUGAUCAUACAUUGUGUUGAUGUCUAUCACAUCUCUCAAAAUAAACAAGUUUUCCAUGAUUUUCUGCCCAGGCAUAUAGUAUGCCUGGUCCCUGUGAACUAUGGUGUCCAAACAACCUUUCAGCCGAUUUGCUUGAACAAUAUUUUCUAAUCCAAGAAGAGCAACGACAUCCGCCUGCAGUUCUUUAAUGGAGUUAAGUCCCCCUUUCUCAGCAGUAGAGACAGUACUUCCCGCUAGCAGCUGAUUGGUAGUACAGAGUUCUCAAAGGACUCCCGAAAGAUCUCCAAGAGGUCCCUCCCAGUACACCACAGGAACGUUUAUAAAACUCAGCUGUUAGUCCAUCGACCCUCAGCGCACGGCCUGCUGCUGUUAGUUCCUGAAAUGAAAGAUCACUAUCCAGCCCAGCACUCUGGCUCAAGCAAAGGCAACGUCUGCAGAGCUGAGCACACUGAGGAUGAUUGUUGCAGUCUCCGUAGAGGUCUGACUUCUAGUCAAUAGUCACCCUCGUCAUCUCCGCUGGAUUCGAGAUCAGACAACUCGAGUGACGCCGUAGAUGGAACAUCUGCUUCUGCUGCGCCGACUUCCUCUCCAGGUUGAAGAAAAACGCACUCGAAGCAUCCAUGUCUGUCAGGGUGGCAAUCCGUGCUCUAAUAAGUGCCCCCUUCACCUGAUCCUGUAAAAAAGAACCCAUCUGCGUCUGCUUAGCCCUAACUCCCUCUCUGACACUGAGUUCUGCUGCCCAGUAAGGCAGAAAUGUCUCUACUAUCCUUCUCUAACCUCUGCCAAGUAGACCUUAUCCUAGCUGUCCCAUCGGCAGAGUACUGCUGGCAAAACACCCUUAUUUGUUUUCACCACAUUCCACCAUUGUCUCAAACUCAGCUUUCCUCCCUUUCCAAGUCUCAACAAAUAAUCUCAAAUCAAAUCAACGUUUAUUUGUGUGCCCCGAAUACAACAGGUGUAGACCUUACUGUGAAAUGCUUACUUACAGGCUCUAACCAAUGGUGCGAGA
ensembl:lncRNA